rfam:Vibrio azureus NBRC 104587 DNA, contig: VAZ01S057.
GUCAAUUAUCUUUAGUUCCUUGCUUCCUCUGGACGACUGAGCCAUUUGUGGAAGCUGAAUAAUCCGUAAGGAGCAACCAAUG